rnacentral:rRNA from 1 species
UGGGGAAUAUUGCACAAUGGGCGCAAGCCUGAUGCAGCCAUGCCGCGUGUAUGAAGAAGGCCUUCGGGUUGUAAAGUACUUUCAGUCGGGAGGAAGGUGGUAAGGUUAAUAACCUUAUCAAUUGACGUUACCGACAGAAGAAGCACCGCCUAACUCCGUGCCAGCAGCCGCGGUAAUACGGAGGGUGCAAGCGUUAAUCGGAAUUACUGGGCGUAAAGCGCACGCAGGCGGUUGAUUGAGUCAGAUGUGAAAUCCCCGGGCUUAACCCGGGAAUUGCAUCUGAUACUGGUCAGCUAGAGUCUUGUAGAGGGGGGUAGAAUUCCAUGUGUAGCGGUGAAAUGCGUAGAGAUGUGGAGGAAUACCGGUGGCGAAGGCGGCCCCCUGGACAAAGACUGACGCUCAGGUGCGAAAGCGUGGGGAGCAAACAGG